CACCGCCCUUCGCUACUACCGAUUGAAUGAUUUAGUGAGGUCUUCGGACUGGCUUUCGGGUCGCAUCAGCGUGCCAAAAAGAUGACCAAAUUUGAUCAUUUAAGAAAAAGUAAAAAUCGUACCGGUUUCCGUACGUGAACCUGUGGAAG
rnacentral:ncRNA from 1 species